rnacentral:lncRNA from 1 species
GGGAGAAUCCAGUAGGGGGCAGAAGAGACCAGCAGUAGAGGAAGCCUGAGGAGGAACUGGCUGGAGCUCUUCAGAAGAGAAAGGCCAAGACCCAGGGGAGGGCUCUGGUGGCCGGGCAGAAGGCGGUGCAGGGGCCUGACUCUGGUUUUGCAUCCCUGUGGGUACUCACUCACCUGUGGGACUGUGGGUAGGACCAAGAACAAAACCACUGAGCCUGCAAUGAAUGUUUGUGCUGAGGACCGAGACCAGCUGUGUCAAUGUUAACUGCUGGUUCCAGGAUACUCUUUCCCAGGUGGAUGAGGGUGAAAACAAUAAAGAAUGUCACUCAUUGCUUCAGGGAAUUCCUGAAAACCAAUUAUCCAGGUGAUCCUGGCCCUCUGUCCCAAAGCCACAGACGCUGCAGGCAACUGAGUCCGCUCAGAGGAGGCCACUGAGCCUACAAGAUAGGACAGGAGAGAUUGAGCUAUAAAACCAUGACAAGUGCAUGGAGCAGCUAUUUGAGCACCAGGAAAGGAAAUGGUACGCAGCAGUUUGGGAUGGCCCCAGCAGAUGAAAUACAACAGAGUCAGUGUGAGACUGCUGGAUUUCCUCACUGUCCCCUGGCUGGGACUCCAGACAGCCCCAAACCUGAAGGGGCACAAACCUGAAAACAAAAAGAAGUCCAGAAAGCCCUCUUGUUCAGGAUCGAACUUGGGAAAGAAAACUUAUUUGGCUCAAAGUGAAGGCUCAGUCCCCUGCACAAGCAGGUGGUUCACACCUGUGUUCUCAUCUCUCUUAUACCAGCGCCUCUCCCUGGGUUCACACUGAUGUCCUAUGGAUGGAGACGGGGCUUCCUGCACCAGGUCACUCCACAGCCCCUGUAACCUGAAGCCCUGCAGACCAGCCUUGUUCAAUCACAAUGUGAUGUGAGCCUCAUGGGAAUCCCACUGUCUAGUCAUCAUGUUAUAAAUACAAAGAGAAGAAGUCAAUGAGUUUAAAUAAUGUAUUUUAUUUACCUAGCAUAUCAAAAAGAGUAUCAUUUUCAUAUAUAAUCUAAGUACAAUUAUUUAUGAUAUAUAUCAUAUACUUUGCAUGGCUAUUGUUAUUAUUUUUUGAAGAAUCUUUAUGUGGAGA